rnacentral:rRNA from 1 species
GGAGUCUGGUCCGUGUCUCAGUACCAGUGUGGGGGAUAAGCCUCUCAGCUCCCCUAGGCAUCGUAGGCUUGGUGGGCCGUUGCCCCGCCAACUACCUAAUGCCACGCAUGCCCAUCCCGCACCACCGAAGCUUUAGUCCCCAGACCAUGCGGCCCGGGAACACCAUGGGAUAUUAGUGGAAGUUUCCCUCCGUUAUCCCCCUCGUGCGGGGCAGGUUGCAUACGCGUUACUCACCCGUCCGCCGCUAAAACAUACAUCUUCUUCUCCAUCCGAAAACUUCAAAUCCGUCGUAUGUCUCCGCUCGACUUGCAUGUGUUAGGCACGCCGCCAGCGUUCGUCCUCGAGCCACUGAUCAAACUACU